rnacentral:rRNA from 1 species
ACGCUGGCGGCGUGCCUAAUACUGCAAGUCGAUCGAGAGCGGAGCAAUCCGCGAAAGAGGCGAACGGGUGAGUAAUACAUAAGCAACCUGGCCACAAAGACGGGGAUAACACCUGGAAACGGGCGCUAAUACCGGAUAAGUGAAGGUGGGGCAUCCCACCAUCAUAAAAGGGAGAGAAACGCGAGUGGAUGGGCUUAUGGUGCAUUAGUUAGUUGGCGGGAUAAAGGCCCACCAAGACGAUGAUGCAUAGCCGGACUGAGAGGUUGAACGGCCACAUUGGGACUGAGACACGGCCCAGACUCCUACGGGAGGCAGCAGUAGGGAAUUUUCGGCAAUGGGGGGAACCCUGACCGAGCAACGCCGCGUGAGUGAAGAAGUUUUUCGGAAUGUAAAGCUCUGUUGUAAGGGAAGAAGAGAUAUGGAGGACCAUAUUGUGACGGUACCUUACGAGGAAGCCACGGCUAACUACGUGCCAGCAGCCGCGGUAAUACGUAGGUGGCGAGCGUUAUCCGGAAUUAUUGGGCGUAAAGGGUGCGUAGGCGGGCGUUUAAGUUCAAGGUGAAAGCGUGGGGCUCAACCCCAUAAAGCCUUGGAUACUGGGCGGCUGGAGUACUGGAGAGGGUAGUGGAAUUCCAUGUGUAGCGGUAAAAUGCGUAGAUAUAUGGAGGAACACCGGAGGCGAAGGCGGCUACCUGGACAGUAACUGACGCUGAGGCACGAAAGCGUGGGGAGCAAAUAGGAUUAGAUACCCUAGUAGUCCACGCCGUAAACGAUGAAUACUAAAUGUCGGGGAAACCCGGUGUUGGAACAAACGCAAUAAGUAUUCCGCCUGUGGAGUAUGCACGCAAGUGUGAAACAUAAAGGAAUUGACGGGGGCCCGCACAAGCGGUGGAGUAUGUGGUUUAAUUC